rnacentral:rRNA from 1 species
AGAGCGAACGCUGGCGGCAGGCCUAACACAUGCAAGUCGAACGGACCCUUCGGGGUUAGUGGCGGACGGGUGAGUAACACGUGGGAACGUGCCUUUUGGUUCGGAAUAGCUCCUGGAAACGGGUGGUAAUGCCGAAUGUGCCCUUCGGGGGAAAGAUUUAUCGCCAUUAGAGCGGCCCGCGUCUGAUUAGCUAGUUGGUGAGGUAAUGGCUCACCAAGGCGACGAUCAGUAGCUGGUCUGAGAGGAUGACCAGCCACAUUGGGACUGAGACACGGCCCAAACUCCUACGGGAGGCAGCAGUGGGGAAUCUUGCGCAAUGGGCGAAAGCCUGACGCAGCCAUGCCGCGUGAAUGAUGAAGGUCUUAGGAUUGUAAAAUUCUUUCACCGGGGACGAUAAUGACGGUACCCGGAGAAGAAGCCCCGGCUAACUUCGUGCCAGCAGCCGC